UACAGAGGUGGCAAGCGUUGUUCGGAAUUACUGGGCGUAAAGGGCGCGUAGGCGGCUUGGUCAGUCCCGUGUGAAAUCCCUCGGCUCAACUGAGGAACUGCACGGGAAACUGCCUGGCUUGAGUUCGGGAGAGGGAAGCGGAAUUCCGGGUGUAGCGGUGAAAUGCGUAGAUAUCCGGAGGAAUACCGAUGGCGAAGGCAGGUCUCUGGGCUGACACUGACGCUCAUGCACGAAAGCGUGGGGAGCAAACAGG
rnacentral:rRNA from 1 species